rnacentral:rRNA from 1 species
AGUGAACGCUGGCGGUAGGCCUAACACAUGCAAGUCGAACGGCAGCACAGUAAGAGCUUGCUCUUACGGGUGGCGAGUGGCGGACGGGUGAGGAAUACAUCGGAAUCUACUUUUUCGUGGGGGAUAACGUAGGGAAACUUACGCUAAUACCGCAUACGACCUACGGGUGAAAUCAGGGGAUCUUCGGACCUUGCGCGAUUGAAUGAGCCGAUGUCGGAUUAGCUAGUUGGCGGGGUAAAGGCCCACCAAGGCGACGAUCCGUAGCUGGUCUGAGAGGAUGAUCAGCCACACUGGAAAUGAGACACGGUCCAGACUCCUACGGGAGGCAGCAGUGGGGAAUAUUGGACAAUGGGCGCAAGCCUGAUCCAGCCAUACCGCGUGGGUGAAGAAGGCCUUCGGGUUGUAAAGCACUUUUGUUGGGAAAGAAAAGCAGAAGGUUAAUACCCCGCUGUUCUGACGGUACCAAAAGAAUAAGCACCGGCUAACUUCGUG